rnacentral:rRNA from 1 species
GCUGAAGUCUGGUGCUUGCACUAGACGGAUGAGUUGCGAACGGGUGAGUAACGCGUAGGUAACCUGCCUCAUAGCGGGGGAUAACUAUUGGAAACGAUAGCUAAUACCGCAUAACAGUAUUUACCGCAUGGUAGAUACUUGAAAGGAGCAAUUGCUUCACUAUGAGAUGGACCUGCGUUGUAUUAGCUAGUUGGUGAGGUAACGGCUCACCAAGGCAUCGAUACAUAGCCGACCUGAGAGGGUGAUCGGCCACACUGGGACUGAGACACGGCCCAGACUCCUACGGGAGGCAGCAGUAGGGAAUCUUCGGCAAUGGGGGCAACCCUGACCGAGCAACGCCGCGUGAGUGAAGAAGGUUUUCGGAUCGUAAAGCUCUGUUGUAAGAGAAGAACUGUGAGAAGAGUGGAAAGUUUCUCACUUGACGGUAUCUUACCAGAAAGGGACGGCUAACUACGUGCCAGCAGCCGCGGUAAUACGUAGGUCCCGAGCGUUGUCCGGAUUUAUUGGGCGUAAAGCGAGCGCAGGCGGUUUGAUAAGUCUGAAGUAAAAGGCUGUGGCUUAACCAUAGUACGCUUUGGGAAACUGUCAAACUUGAGUGCAGAAGGGGAGAGUGGAAUUCCAUGUGUAGCGGUGAAAUGCGUAGAUAUAUGGAGGAACACCGGUGGCGAAAGCGGCUCUCUGGUCUGU